CUCAAUAUCUACAAGACCAACAGCGACCUCCUGCUGGAAGAGAUUAAAUUUGCAAACAGUUUACAGUUUAACUGUUUUUUACGGUUUACCGUAACUGUUUAGUUAAUUUUUGCCAUUUAGUUUUUUUUAUGCUAUUUAAAAAAAGGAAAAAACUCCAGUACACUUUAAUUAAAACUCCAGUACACUUCUGUAUAGGGCUGGACGAUAUGAGCAAAAAUUCAUAUCUCUGUAUUUUGUGGCUGAUUUGCGAUAUACGGUAGCAUACCAUCUGAUGGGGCAAGCGCGAGCUGCUUUGAACUGAACCUAUAAAUUAUAGGCUACUAGGAAUAAAACACAGAAAUUAUUUUAAUGCAAAAAAAAACAAAAAACGUUCUUAUUGGUUGAACUUUUUCUGAACUUUUUCUGUUGCUUGUUUUGAAUACUGCGCGUGGACAGGGGCGUUACUAGAUUUUUGUGUAGUUUAGAGUUACAAAACGUACCAGCGUACUUUGAGGCCAAAUUUGAGCCGCUACGCAAAAUGCGUACAGGUUGGCAGGUCUGCUUGCUGCUUUGGCAAGGGGCGGGGCAGUACUGAAACACCGUCUAAGUGUUAUCACAACACACUGAGACAGCUAACCUAUCACAUCACAUUUUGUUUUUCGGAAGGCGGGCCUUCAUCAAACCCAGAACUAAUCGAGCUGUUUGUUCCAGGCUGGGGAGAAAGGUAUAGUAAUAAUGUAAAUUACAGUAUGUGAAAAAUAAUUCAUUUUUCUUAUCACCAAGCAUGAAAGCAUGUUCUAGUACACCAAGACUUUGUAAAAGAGCAUAAUUUUGAUGUGUGUGUAUUAAAUCUGUCAAAAAUGGUCAGUUUGACCUAAAAUUUUACAUCUGCAAAUUGUCUAUUCUUCCUAUUUCAAGUUUUUGAACAGGCGCAUGAGUCGCUCCAGUCAUGCUGACAUUGUUUGUGUCUGUUUGCUUAAAUUAGUCAUGGCAGCGUUGGAAAAGCCAUGUGGAAGUGACCAGUGCGCUUUCACCUCUCACCGGUCUGAGGCUGGAGGAGCCGCGCCAGGCCGUCCCGCUGAAGGUGACGUGUGUGUGGUCCCGACCGGCCCAAGAGGUUCAGUCCGGCCGCAGGACCGAUCAUCGUCCGGGAAUCCAACAAACACCAGAAACCUCUGUGUCGUCCUGAAAGACUCAUCGACAGGAAAAAACAAGUACAAGCUUGACUUGCAAUUCAGACAACAGCUGGUUUUACUUAAUCAGCCAUUCUGGAGAAAAUCAACAGAAUGUUGAAUUGAUAAAGAAUUGUGGUUUAGAGGAAUAAUCGAUGAUUCAUGAAGGACUCAUGACGACCUCAGUAUUUAUGUUCUCAUUUCGAUGCAAAAAAAUCUGUAUCUUCAUCAGCAUUGUAAUUUUCUUAAAACAAGAUUUAUAAAUCUGACUAAAUAUAGUGCAACUCCACAGACAGAUGGAGACAUUCGGUAAUGCGUUUUCUGUUUAGUUGCUAAGGCAUCUAUUACUACUACUUAUGCUUACAGUUAAGGGUUCAACGUGUCUGUCUGUCUGUCUGUCCAUCUAUCCAACAAUAUUUCCUACAUUAUUUUAUCUGUAUGUAUGUAUGUUUAUUUGUUUGUUUUUAGUUUGUUUUAUUUAUAUAUUUUUUAAUUGUUUAUUUAUAUUUUUGUUUUUAUUUAUUCUAAUAUAUUUACCUAUUUCUUCUUU
ensembl:lncRNA